AACGAACGCUGGCGGCGUGCCUAACACAUGCAAGUCGAACGGAAUGAGGGGCUUGCUCCUCAUUUAGUGGCGCACGGGUGAGUAACGCGUAGAUAAUCUGCCUGAUGAUCUGGGAUAACAUUUCGAAAGAGGUGCUAAUACCGGAUAAGCCCACGACGGCCUUGGCCGACGCGGGAAAAGGGGGGGACCAUUUGGCCUUCUGUCAUCAGAUGAGUCUGCGUACCAUUAGCUAGUUGGUAGGGUAAAGGCCUACCAAGGCUACGAUGGUUAGCUGUUCGGGAGGGAUGAUCAGCCACACUGGAACGGAGACGCGGUCCAGACUCCUACGGGAGGCAGCAGUGGGGAAUUGUGCGCAAUGGGCGAAAGCCUGACGCAGCAACGCCGCGUGAGUGAUGAAGGCUUUCGGGUCGUAAAGCUCUGUCAAUGGGAAAGAAGUGUAUUGCAGUUAAUACCUGCGAUACUUGACGGUACCCAUAAAGGAAGCACCGGCUAACUCCGUGCCAGCAGCCGCAGUAACAC
rnacentral:rRNA from 1 species